rnacentral:rRNA from 1 species
UACGAAGGGGGCUAGCGUUGUUCGGAAUUACUGGCGUAAAGCGCACGUAGGCGGACUAUUAAGUCAGGGGUGAAAUCCCGGGGCUCAACCCCGGAACUGCCUUUGAUACUGGUAGUCUCGAGUCCGGAAGAGGUGAGUGGAAUUCCGAGUGUAGAGGUGAAAUUCGUAGAUAUUCGGAGGAACACCAGUGGCGAAGGCGGCUCAC